rnacentral:rRNA from 1 species
UACGUAGGGUGCGAGCGUUAAUCGGAAUUACUGGGCGUAAAGCGUGCGCAGGCGGUUUUGUAAGCCAGAUGUGAAAUCCCCGGGCUUAACCUGGGAAUGGCAUUUGGGACUGCAAGGCUUGAGUGCGGCAGAGGAGACUGGAAUUCCUGGUGUAGCAGUGAAAUGCGUAGAUAUCAGGAGGAACACCCGUGGCGAAAGCGGCUCUCUGGGACGGUACUGACGCUGAGACGCGAAAGCGUGGGGAGCAAACAGG